rnacentral:rRNA from 1 species
CAGUCGCCACGGUAAUACAGAGGGUGCGAGCGUUAAUCGGAUUUACUGGGCGUAAAGCGUGCGUAGGCGGCUUCUUAAGUCGGAUGUGAAAUCCCUGAGCUUAACUUAGGAAUUGCAUUCGAUACUGGGAAGCUAGAGUAUGGGAGAGGAUGGUAGAAUUCCAGGUGUAGCGGUGAAAUGCGUAGAGAUCUGGAGGAAUACCGAUGGCGAAGGCAGCCAUCUGGCCUAAUACUGACGCUGAGGUACGAAAGCAUGGGGAGCAAACAGGAUUAGAUACCCCCGUAGUCCCUGUCUCUUAUAU